AGGACGAACGCUGGCGGCGUGCUUAACACAUGCAAGUCGAGCGGAAAGGCCCUUCGGGGUACUCGAGCGGCGAACGGGUGAGUAACACGUGAGUAAUCUGCCCCUAGCUCUGGGAUAGCUCCGGGAAACCGGGAUUAAUACCGGAUACGACCACCUUAGACAUCUUUUGUGGUGGAAAGAAUUUCGGCUAGGGAUGAACUCGCGGCCUAUCAGCUUGUUGGUGGGGUAACGGCCUACCAAGGCGACGACGGGUAG
rnacentral:rRNA from 1 species